AACGAACGCUGGCGGCAUGCCUAACACAUGCAAGUCGAACGACACCUUCGGGUCUAGUGGCGCACGGGUGCGUAACGGGGGGGGAACUGCCCUUAGGUUUGGAAUAACUCCCCGAAAGGGGUGCUAAUACCGGAUAAUGUCUUCGAACCAAAGAUUUAUCGCCAUUGGAGGGGCCGGCGUUGGAUUAGCUAGUUGGUAGGGUAAAAGCCUACCAAGGCGACGAGCGCUAACUGGCCGGAGAGGAUGAUCAGCCACUCUGGGACUGAGACACGGCCCAGACUCCUACGGGAGGCAGGAGUGGGGAAUAUUGGACAAUGGGCGAAAGCAUGAUGCAGCAAUGCCGCGUGAGUGAUGAAGGCCUUAGGGUUGUAAAGCUUUCUUACCCGGGAUGAUAAUGACAGUACCGGGAGAAUAAGCUCCGGCUAACUCCGUG
rnacentral:rRNA from 1 species